rnacentral:hammerhead_ribozyme from 1 species
AUCCAACUGACGAGUCCUAAAUAGGACGAAACGCGCGUCGUGGAU